rnacentral:rRNA from 1 species
UGGGGAAUUUUCCGCAAUGGGCGAAAGCCUGACGGAGCAAUACCGCGUGAGGGAAGAAAGCCUACUGGGUUGUAAACCUCUUUUUUCAGGGAGGAAAAAAAUGACGUGUACCUGAAGAAUAAGCAUCGGCUAACUCCGUGCCAGCAGCCGCGGUAAGACGGAGGAUGCAAGUGUUAUCCGGAAUUACUGGGCGUAAAGCGUCUGUAGGUGGUUUAAUAAGUCAACUGUUAAAUCUUGAGGCUUAACUUCAAAACAGCAGUCGAAACUAUUAGACUAGAGUAUAGUAGGGGUAAAGGGAAUUUCCAGUGGAGCGGUGAAAUGCGUAGAUAUUGGAAAGAACACCGAUGGCGAAAGCACUUUACUGGGCUAUUACUAACACUCAGAGACGAAAGCUAGGGUAGCAAAUG